GUGUGCUUAGCUCAGUUGGUAGAGCGGCGCCCUUACAAGGCGUAGGUCGGGAGUUCGAGCCUCUCAGCACCCACCA
rnacentral:tRNA from 1 species